rnacentral:pre_miRNA from 1 species
UUUAAGUAUUGUUGUGAGUUUUUUAUUCAGCAUUUGACCGUUCGUCUUAUUUGAAAAAAAUUUUAUGAUUAGUAUUUUUAUUGUUUUUAGAUGAUAAAACGUGAAUAAUAUGUGACGCAUGACUUUUUUUAUUUUUUUUAUAUUUCUUGUAAAUAAUACGGGUGAUUAAACGUUAGACACGAAACCCACGACUACACUCAAA